GCACGCCUAUGCUCGAUACAUUAGCAUGGAAUAAUAGAAUAGGACGUGUGGUUCUAUUUUGUUGGUUUCUAGGACCGCCGUAAUGAUUAAUAGGGACAGUCGGGGGCAUCAGUAUUCAAUUGUCAGAGGUGAAAUUCUUGGAUUUAUUGAAGACUAACUACUGCGAAAGCAUUUGCCAAGGAUGUUUUCAUUAAUCAGGAACGAAAGUUAGGGGAUCGAAGACGAUCAGAUACCGUCGUAGUCUUAACCAUAAACUAUGCCGACUAGGGAUCGGACGGUGUUAUUUUUUGACCCGUUCGGCACCUUACGAGAAAUCAAAGUGCUUGGGCUCCAGGGGGAGUAUGGUCGCAAGGCUGAAACUUAAAGAAAUUGACGGAAGGGCACCACCAGGGGUGGAGCCUGCGGCUUAAUUUGACUCAACACGGGGAAACUCACCAGGUCCAGACACAAUGAGGAUUGACAGAUUGAGAGCUCUUUCUUGAUUUUGUGGGUGGUGGUGCAUGGCCGUUCUUAGUUGGUGGAGUGAUUUGUCUGCUUAAUUGCGAUAACGAACGAGACCUU
rnacentral:rRNA from 1 species